rnacentral:lncRNA from 1 species
UCUGCGUCGAGUGCGUUGCCAAAGGGAAUUGAAGGGUGUGUCGUGCUGGGAUCACUCGCCUCCUCUCUGCUCUCUGCUAUUCGAUGUAUACUUUUUGCAAAGGAAGGAUGGAUCAUGCAGAAAUCAUGGAGAAGGUGAGCAGGACAGGACAUGGUAGGCGUUAGGGUCCUAUCUUUUCUUUUCUUUUCUUUUCUUUCCUUUCUGAGAUCCCCUUUGUCUUGAGAGUUCAGCAUGUAUUUAUCUGAAUUCUAAAUUUGUGUGUGCACAUGUUGGUAAUGUCGAUAUGCAAAGCCUAUUAAAUUUGAAAAAAGAGGGAGCUCAUUUUUCUUUGCUGAAGGAGACUAUUGUUGGUUGGUGCAACAGGAAAAACUCCCUUUCAAGAUCCUUUUUUUUGGGUAGAGUUUUAUGAUUGAAAAUGUAGAUCGGUUAGAGAUGUUAUGCCGAGCCAUGUAGAUUAUUUAAUGAGUAAAUUUUACAAACUACAGUUUUUAAGGCAGUCCGCAGUCAUGUCGCUGAACCCGCAGAACAACACCUUUUGAGUUAAGUUGUCUCAGUUGGUUCGAAACCGAGUGUUU